rnacentral:rRNA from 1 species
GUCUACGGCCAUGCUACCCCGAAUAAGCCCGAUCCUGUCUGAUCUGCAGGGUUGGGCCUGGUUAGCACUUGGAUGGGAGACCACCUAGGAAGACCAGGUGCUGUAGGCA